rnacentral:rRNA from 1 species
CGUACGAGAAAGCCUCUUCGGAGGUGAGUACAGUGGCGCACGGGUGAGUAACACGUGGGUAAUCUGCCCUUGGGUUUGGGAUAACCCCGGGAAACCGGAGCUAAUACCGAAUGAGACCACGACGACCUCGGUCGAUGUGGGAAAAGAUGGCCUCUUCUUGAAAGCUAUCGCCAGAGGAUGAGCCCGCGGUUGAUUAGCUUGUUGGUGAGGUAACGGCUCACCAAGGCUCCGAUCAAUAGCUGAUCUGAGAGGAUGAUCAGCCACACUGGAACUGAGACACGGUCCAGACUCCUACGGGAGGCAGCAGUCGGGAAUAUUGGGCAAUGGGCGAAAGCCUGACCCAGCAACGCCGCGUGAAGGAUGAAGGCCCUAGGGUCGUAAACUUCUGUCGAGAGGGAAGAAUGUCUGCGGGUAAACAAUCCGUAGGCUUGACGGUACCUCCAAAGGAAGCACCGGCUAACUCCGUGCCAGCAGCCGCGGUAAUACGGAGGGUGCAAGCGUUGUUCGGAUUUAUUGGGCGUAAAGCGAGUGUAGGCGGUUUGACAAGUCGGAUGUGAAAUCCCAGGGCCCAACCCUGGAACUGCAUCCGAUACUGUCAGGCUAGAAUUCCGGAGAGGGUGGCGGAAUUCCCGGUGUAGGGGUGAAAUCCGUAGAUAUCGGGAGGAACACCAGUGGCGAAGGCGGCCACCUGGACGGUAAUUGACGCUGAGACUCGAAAGCGUGGGUGGCAAACAGGAUUAGAUACCCUGGUAGUCCACGCCGUAAACGGUGAGAGCUCGUCGUAGUGGGUAUUGACCCCUGCUGUGACCAAGUUAACGCAUGAAGCUCUCCGCCUGGGAAGUACGGUCGCAAGACUAAAACUCAAAGAAAUUGACGGGGGCCCGCACAAGCGGUGGAGC